rnacentral:rRNA from 1 species
GACCUGUAUCUCGUACUUUCGAAUUCCCGCGAUUUUAUUCGUGUGGUUUUUGUUAUUUUAUUGUACGAGAUAUAUAUGCUGGUGGAUGUUUAGAGAUUGUGUGCUAUAUAGACAACGAACUUUUGUUCGCUGCUCUACUAUUCAUACGAUUUCGAUAUUCGAUACGAUGAGUUUAGGAUUGAAUUCACUUUUGUGAAUUCUACUUAGAUUCAAUUGUAUUCUGAUAGUGUUGGAAAUGUUGCGAUCAAAGAUGCGCAAUUUUGUAAAAAAAAUUGCUGUCGCGCUCGCUCGUUUUCGAUCUGUCGGACCAGCGAAAUUACUUUGAACAAAUUAGAGUGCUUAAAGCAGGCAAAUUUUAUGCCUUGAAUAUAAACAGCAUGGAAUAAUAGAAUAUGAUCUCGAUACUGUUUGUUUAAUGUGUUUUCGCUUGAGAUCGUAAGAUUUUAGUGAAAAUGCAUUUUUCGUUCGAAUAAUAUGCGUAAGUGUAUUUGAGAACGAAAUGAAAUUGGCUUAAAGUGAGCAAUUUUCGAAAAUCUUAAAUGUGAUUUUCGUUUUGUUCACGACAGUAU